CUUAAUGAAAAUUCCCUCCACCAUGCCUCCUCCGCUCAUCAAGCACCCCCGAGUUCUCAAAGAAAAGGAACCAUAUAUGAAGUUAGCCAGCCCAUAGGUCUAUCCGAGAAAGUAGAUGCACUAUCCCGCAAAUUGGGCCAGCUAAUGUCUAGAGAACAGCUUCCAAACUUUCACCAAGCACAAGUAUGUACUCUCUGUUCUAGUCCAUCUCACACUGUCUUUGAGU
rnacentral:lncRNA from 1 species